UGAAGAGGAGUUUAUCAACUGUGC
rnacentral:siRNA from 1 species